rnacentral:rRNA from 1 species
AGUGAACGCUGGCGGUAGGCCUAACACAUGCAAGUCGAACGGCAGCACAGUAAGAGCUUGCUCUUACGGGUGGCGAGUGGCGGACGGGUGAGGCAUACAUCGGAAUCUACUUUUUCGUGGGGGAUAACGUAGGGAAACUUACGCUAAUACCGCAUACGACCUACGGGUGAAAGCAGGGGAUCUUCGGACCUUGCGCGAUUGAACGAGCCGAUGUCGGAUUAGCUAGUUGGCGGGGUAAAGGCCCACCAAGGCGACGAUCCGUAGCUGGUCUGAGAGGAUGAUCAGCCACACUGGAACUGAGACACGGUCCAGACUCCUACGGGAGGCAGCAGUGGGGAAUAUUGGACAAUGGGCGCAAGCCUGAUCCAGCCAUACCGCGUGGGUGAAGAAGGCCUUCGGGUUGUAAAGCCCUUUUGUUGGGAAAGAAAAGCAGCAGGUUAAUACCCCGCUGUUCUGACGGGACCCAAAGAAUAAGCACCGGCUAACUUCGU